UACGUAGGGGGCUAGCGUUGUCCGGAAUCACUGGGCGUAAAGCGCACGUAGGCGGCUUUCUAAGUCAGGGGUGAAAUCCUGGAGCUCAACUCCAGAACUGCCUUUGAUACUGGGAAGCUCGAGUCCGGAAGAGGUGAGUGGAACUCCGAGUGUAGAGGUGAAAUUCGUAGAUAUUCGGAAGAACACCAGUGGCGAAGGCGGCUCACUGGUCCGGUACUGACGCUGAGGUGCGAAAGCGUGGGGAGCAAACAGG
rnacentral:rRNA from 1 species